rnacentral:rRNA from 1 species
AGUGAACGCUGGCGGCAGGCCUAAUACAUGCAAGUCGAACGGCAGCACAGUAAGAGCUCGCUUUUACGGGUGGCGACGGACGGAUGGGUGAGGCAUAGAUCGCAAUCCACUUUUUCGUGGGGGACAACGUAGGGCAACUUAUGCUAACACCGCAUAUGUUCUACGGGAUAAAUCAAGAGUUCAUGGGAGCCUGCGUGUCUCAAUUAGCUGAUGCCGGAUUAGCUAGUUGGCAGGGUAAAGGCCCACCAAGGCGACGAUCCGUAGCAGGUCUGAGAGGAUGAUCAGCCACACUGGAACUGAGACACGGUCCAGACUCCUACGGGAGGCAGCAGUAGGGAAUCUUGGGCAAUGGGCGCAAGCCUGAUCGAGCCAUGCCGCGUGAGUGAAGAAGGUCUUCGGGUUGUAAAGCCCUUUUAUUAGGGAAGAAAAGCUGCGGAUUAAUCCCCCGCUGUUCUGACGGUACCCAAAGAGUAAGCACCGGCUAACUUCGUG